rnacentral:lncRNA from 1 species
AAGCCACUGUUGGGUGCUGCCCAGACAAUAGAGGCCUCAGAAGUGCAUGGGUUCUUCCAGGAGCUGUAUAGCACACUUUCUUUGGUGACCUCUACUGGUGCUUACAAAGCAUGAAGAAAAAGGAACCAUUCUUCCAUGAAUUCUCCUACCAGCGCAAACAUUGCAAAUUGUUUUCUUUUGGGGUCAAAGCUUUGCCACCUGCCAUUUUGGGCUCAGAGGAAGGCUGAAAUACAUCAUUUGAGGGGUUAUACACUCGAGGUGACCCGUUGCUGUCUAGUCCUGACUUCCCUUGGGGUUCGCCUCUCUCUCCUGCCUGCCGUCAUCUCCAGCAUCCCUGUCCUCUUGGUGAGCUCCAGGUGCCUUGAGGAGAACAGAGGGGACAUUUUGCUCCAAUUACAAAUGCUGUAGCAAGGAAAGGUGAAGCAAUUAAACU